GUGAGGAAUAUUGCGCAAUGGAGGCAACUCUGACGCAGCCAUGCCGCGUGCAGGAAGAAGGCGCUACGCGUUGUAAACUGCUUUUAACCGGGAAGAAACCCCAGGACGUGUCCUGGGUUGACGGUACCGGAGGAAUAAGCACCGGCUAACUUCGUGCCAGCAGCCGCGGUAAUACGAAGGGUGCAAGCGUUAUCCGGAUUCAGUGGGUUUAAAGGGUGCGUAGGCGGAGCGUUAAGUCAGUGGUGAAAUCCUGCAGCUUAACUGUAGACUUGCCAUUGAUACUGGCGCUCUUGAGUGCGCUUGAAGUGGGCGGAAUGUGCCGUGUAGCGGUGAAAUGCUUAGAUAUGGCACAGAACACCAAUUGCGAAGGCAGCUCACUAAGGCGAUACUGACGCUGAGGCACGAAAGCGUGGGGAUCGAACAGGAUUAGAUACCAGUGUAGUCC
rnacentral:rRNA from 1 species